UCUUGUUCAUUUGAAUGCAAACUUGUAUUAGUUAUGAGUAUACAUGUAAGGUGCUGAACUUUUAAAGUUAUGAAGUUACAGUGGAUGUUGGUUUGGAAACUAUUAGAGUAGUUCCAGUGAAGUUCGAGAGUGUUCGGGUGUUUUUGGUACGUGUCGGGCGUGAAAACAGAACUCGAAAAGUUAUGAUUGGAGCUUGGCCGGAAUCCAGCAAGGCGUGGAUGAAAAGAUGGUUUAAAUGCGCUCGAAAACAAGUUUUGGGAGUUUCGGUACGAUUAGAAAUGAAUCGGAGACCCACGGAAUAAAAAUGCGCGAAAACGGAAAAGAAUGGCAAACGGCUGAAAUUUUGGCUAAGUACUAGAAAUGCAGUUUUUCUGGA
rnacentral:lncRNA from 1 species